AGUGAACGCUGGCGGUAGGCCUAACACAUGCAAGUCGAACGGCAGCACAGUAAGAGCUUGCUCUUACGGGUGGCGAGUGGCGGACGGGUGAGGAAUACAUCGGAAUCUACUUUUUCGUGGGGGAUAACGUAGGGAAACUUACGCUAAUACCGCAUACGACCUACGGGUGAAAGCAGGGGAUCUUCGGACCUUGCGCGAUUGAAUGAGCCGAUGUCGGAUUAGCUAGUUGGCGGGGUAAAGGCCCACCAAGGCGACGAUCCGUAGCUGGUCUGAGAGGAUGAUCAGCCACACUGGAACUUAGACACGGUCCAGACUCCUACGGGAGGCAGCAGUGGGGAAUAUUGGACAAUGGGCGCAAGCCUGAUCCAGCCAUACCGCGUGGGUGAAGAAGGCCUUCGGGUUGUAAAGCCCUUUUGUUGGGAAAGAAAAGCAGCAGGUUAAUACCCCGCUGUUCUGACGGUACCCAAAGAGUAAGCACCGGCUAACUUCGUG
rnacentral:rRNA from 1 species